rnacentral:lncRNA from 1 species
AUAAAUUAUGUAAUAUGCCAGGGAGAUAUGUAUACUGUAGCUAAGAAAGUAAUACUUAGUGUAUGUUGUGUAGUAAGCUGUUAGUAGCCCAUGUGCCCCACCCUAAUAAUUUGGUCUAUUUUCUUCUCUUAACUUUGCCUACUGUUCUGACUUGGUGGUGCACAUGUAGCCUAUAACCUGUUUUAGAGAAAUGUCAUCAUCAAAUAUUGUAAGAGCUUUCAUUGUCUGCUUAUAUGCCCCCUUUAUUUAUCCUAUGGUUCAGACUUGGUUUACAGGGAGAACACUGUAAGAACGGCCCAUGUUCUGAAUUCUGUCGCUGUACUGUUGGGACUCUGCUGUUGGGACAACUUUGUGUAGGCCCUAACAGUUUGUGGGCAACGUUUGUCACCAUUUUAGUGAAAUUAAUCUAUUGUUUAGUGUUGUGUUGUUGCUUUUCCGGCAUUCAUCCCUCUUUUUUUGGUUUAUCCCACCAAGCUUUACAUGCUAAAAUCGUCACGGGUUGUAAUAUUAACUUACCAUAUGUAUCCAUCUUUGCACACAUGCCAGUACAUUUUCUGAUAGGACACCUUGAGCAGGCCUUUCUUCUGGAGGUAUUUCACCUUUUAAGCUGUUUUUUUGGCUACAAUAUAUGACUUAGCACACGAGCUAUUUUCAAUUAAAAAUCCUUGGGUCAGGUAUUGGAUUUGGGUGCGCACUUUAAGAGUAAAAAUUUGUAUCCAGCUGGAAAUUGGACCAAAAAAAAGAGAGUUCACUUGUUCACAUGUUGUUUAACGUCAUCGAGGACAAAACGCAGUGACAGUCAACGCUGACCAAGGCCAACCAUGAAUGUCUUACAAACAAUGUAAGAAGAUGGCCUCAUCAGCAGAGAUUGAUGCCAUAACUGAAUUGGUAGAUGUCGAGAUCCCUAAGUAAGAUGUAUGGGAACCAACUGUGGUUGCUGUAGAUGAUUAUGUACCUCCCAUAGAUGGGGACAACGUUGACAAGAUGUGUGAGUCGGACAAUAGCUCAGAUUUUUCAAGCUCAGACGGCUCGUCAUCCACUGACAGUGAAUAUGAAAAAAAGAAGAAGAAGAAGAAGGGGAAAAAAGGAAACAGCUAAAUCCAGAGAUCUUCUCAGGAAUGAAUCAUGUCCGUGGAAUGGAUAUAGACAAAAAUAAAAUUCAAGGACUCCGCAAGGCUAGUGGCAAAAUGAUAGCAGAGGUAGAGAGGCGAGGCAGGGGUUAGGACAUCAUCCUGCUAUUUUGACAGUCCCUGAAGGACAAUGCAGAAGAGGCACACAGGGGACUCGAGACCACAGCAGCGAUCCUGCUCUUGCUCUACUUCUUCAAUGAGGACCCGUGAUGUCCUUGGCAAGAUUUUACCGCUCCCUACUCCUUUACUGCACAUCGGCGGAAAUCCAUUUCACCAUGAGAGUGAAAUCAUGCUGGCCUUUGAUGGGGAGAACAUCCACGCCUUCGAGGACGUCCCCUUGGGACUUGGGGCUCUGCUAGGGCUGUAUUUUUUAUUCUCAGUUAAAUUUCCCCAAAAUGUCAGAAAAACACUUAUGUUCUUAAGUUACUGUGUUCUGGGGAUAAGAGAAGUUGGGUGAAGUUACCAAGGGCCGGUCAUAGAGAUGGCAAACUUGCAAACUUCCUAACAUAACUAAGUGGUUGUUGGGCAAGUGGUUGUUGGACACACACACACACAAAAGCAAAAAAAGCUGUAUUUAGCAUCACGUCUACAAUAUUGUUAGUUUACCUAUGAUUCAUUUUUAACGUUUGUUGUUUUUGUUGUACAACAUUAUUUUAUAAACAAAUUAAUUGUAAUGAAAAGCACUAUACAAAGUACAUUUAUUAUUUAUAAUGGUCUGACAUGCCUGCAAAAAUGUUGCAAUUUUGUAACAUGUUUUGUUUGAUCAAUUGUUUUGUAAAUAUGAAUUCACAUUUGUGGUGCCACUAAAUAAACAAUGAGUUAUUUAAAUCCAUGUUGUCAAUAUUGUUAUAAUUAUUAAAAUAUUGGAAAGGUAGUUAAACAAAUGAACCCCAAAAGGUUCUUAGAGGAACCAUUAUAAGGGGUUCUUCGA